AGUGAACGCUGGCGGUAGGCCUAACACAUGCAAGUCGAACGGCAGCACAGUAAGAGCUUGCUCUUACGGGUGGCGAGUGGCGGACGGGUGAGGAAUACAUCGGAAUCUACUUUUUCGUGGGGGAUAACGUAGGGAAACUUACGCUAAUACCGCAUACGACCUACGGGUGAAAGCAGGGGAUCUUCGGACCUUGCGCGAUUGAAUGAGCCGAUGUCGGAUUAGCUAGUUGGCGGGGUAAAGGCCCACCAAGGCGACGAUCCGUAGCUGGUCUGAGAGGAUGAUCAGCCAACAUGGAGCUGAGACAAGGUCCAGACUCCUACGGGAGGCAGCAGUGGGGAAUAUUGGACAAUGGGCGCAAGCCUGAUCCAGCCAUACCGCGUGGGUGAAGAAGGCCUUCGGGUUGUAAAGCCCUUUUGUUGGGAAAGAAAAGCAGCAGGUUAAUACCCCGCUGUUCUGACGGUACCCAAAGAAUAAGCACCGGCUAACUUCGUG
rnacentral:rRNA from 1 species